GCUGCGUGCUACAGCGAGGCUAAGCUAGUGGGGGCAAAGUUUCAGUGCAUUCCGUUGAUGUAGACGGCGUGAAAACGGAAACAACAAGUAUGCCGGCUCACUGUGCUGCAUACAAUUACACACUGCGUCGUACGAUUGAGACAAGGAAACUUGGAAUGACUUUUCAUAGGUUUCCCAGAGACUAUGGGUUGAGGAGGAAUUGGAAGUUUGUCGGCUUAGACCUGGUGUCAUUCCAUCAGUGUUAAACUUCCCGGCUCAUCUUGGAAGAGUACGUGCCAGAAAGACCACGACCAAGCAGCCUUGAGAUCUUAGGCAGCGUCUCCCUGAGACCAAAGAACUACAGACUCUUCAC
ensembl:lncRNA